rnacentral:lncRNA from 1 species
AACCCGCUAGAGUCCCCUUCCAUGCUGUGGGAGCUUUGUGCUUUGGCUGUUUGCAAUAAAUCUUUCUACUGCUCACUCUUUGGGUCAACACUGAUUUUACGGGCUGUAACAGUCACCGGGAAGGUGUGCAGCUUCACUCCUGAGCCAGCGAGACCACGAACCCACCAGAAGGAAGAAACUCGGAACACAUCCGAACAUCAGAAGGAACAAACUCCAGACGCGCCACCUUAAGAGCUGUAACACUCACCGCGAGGGUCUGCGGCUUCAUUCUUGAAGUCAGUGAGACGAAGAACCCACCAAUUCCGGACACACUACUCUGUAGGUUUCUGUGGACAUAAGUUUCAAUGCAUUUUGGUAAAUAUCAAGGAGUACAAUUGCUGCAACUUAUGACUAAAAAUAUGUUUCAUUUUGUAGAAGCAGUUCUGCCAAACUGUUUUCUAGUGUGGCUGUACCAUUUUGAAUUCCCGCCAGCAAUGAAACGAAGUUUCUAAUGCUUCCCAUUGUCACCAGUAUUUGGUAUUAUCAGUGUCCUGGCUACUCAAAUAGGAAAAGCUUAAGGGAAAGAUUCUUCUGUGAGCUGGUGCUGAUGCUGUAUGUUCCAGUAGAUCUUCAAAGAAAUGUAAGAUAAUUUAUUGAAAUAAGGAAUAAAAUAAACUUUUUUCUGAGUUCUACUUGAUUACCUAAAAGUUACAUUUUUAUAAAGAUAAAAUUUGUACAAUUCAAAUAUACUUAAAUAACUUUUCAUUGAUCAAGAGCUAUCAUCAAGCCCUCAAUUACACUGUGUGAAUGACUGCAUGGACAAGCACACAUUUUUUUUUCAUUAAUAAACCAAUAUUUAUGCA